UGGAGACGAGCAGGAGCAAGGCAGAUAGAGGGCGGAGAGGGGACUCGCCUGAACACUGAGUGACAGAGUGUGUUCGGGGCCGGUCAGAGGCGAGUUUGAGUUGGGACGGAAACAUUGCAGCAGAACCAUCUGUCAAAUGGGCUCAAAGAGGCUGAUGGGGGCAGGAGAGGUGGAGGCAUCAUGGUGGUAUGUGUGUGUAGCCUGAGGAAUGGCCAGCUGACAUCUGUGAAACCACCACAGGCAGUGAGAGGGCAAAUGGAGGCAAUCUGCAGCAAGAAAACAACAUAUUUCUCUAACAUCACUCUGAUUGUCAUGA